AUUGAACGCUGGCGGCAGGCCUAACACAUGCAAGUCGAGCGGAUGAAGGGAGCUUGCUCCUGGAUUCAGCGGCGGACGGGUGAGUAAUGCCUAGGAAUCUGCCUGGUAGUGGGGGAUAACGUCCGGAAACGAGCGCUAAUACCGCAUACGUCCUGAGGGAGAAAGUGGGGGAUCUUCGGACCUCACGCUCUCAGAUGAGCCUAGGUCGGAUUAGCUAGUUGGUGGGGUAAAGGCCUACCAAGGCGACGAUCCGUAACUGGUCGGAGAGGAUGAUCAGUCACACUGGAACUUGGACACGGUCCAGACGCCUACGGGAGGCAGCAGUGGGGAAUAUUGGACAAUGGGCGAAAGCCUGGUCCAGCCAUGCCGCGUGUGUGAAGAAGGUCUUCGGAUUGUAAAGCACUUUAAGUUGGGAGGAAGGGCAGUAAGUUAAUACCUUGCUGGUUUGACGUUACCAACAGAAUAAGCACCGGCUAACUUCGUG
rnacentral:rRNA from 1 species